UCCUGUGAGAGACCAUCUGGUUCUUGUGGCCCCAGAGGGCAGAGCUAUGUCUGAGGGAGGCAAAUACCAGCUCCACGGAUCAGGGUCAUUUUUGCAAGCAGAAUUUCUUCCACACCAUGGGCUGCUCCCAGAGUGACAAGCUCUCAGGUCACAGAGGCUGCAACCCAGGAGCCCCUGGAAAGGAUGAGAAAACCAGCGUUGGGGCAAGGGUCUUGAAGAUCACCGGGAUCCCCUCUCCACACCUGUAGGUGAGGAAACAGAGGCCCAGAAAGGUAAGGUAACUUGCCCAGGGUCGCACAGCUAUUUCUCUGUCAAGGCCACUCCUGGAAGCUCUGCUGGGCUUGGAUGCUGCCGGAGACGCACGAUGACAGCUUGGGAAAAGGAGGGCCACAUCCUAGCCGAGGAGCGAGCCUCUGAGAGAGCGUGCUGUGGUCUCCAACAGCAGGGGGAAAAACACGCAGAAGUUAUAAUUAGUCAGGAAGAGGAAAGAGGAGCGGAGCGUGUGAAUCACCAGCCCCGGUGACAGACGGUUAGAGCUGAGCAGAAGUUUUGGGAGAAGCUGCUGAGGUGUGGGUGAGUUGGGGCCAGGGUGCUGCCCCCAGGCAGGCCGGGGUCCUCAAACACCAGGUGUGUUCGGGACCUCACCUGUCACCCGGAAGUCUUUAUGCCCUCCCCACAAGGCUCUGUCCCCCAUCACCAUCAGGGUUCCAGCUUGUCAGCUCCCCUGCAGGUCCCACCGGCCAUGACCAUCCCCCGGGCCUUCUGUCCACUUCAUCCCAAAGCCAAUGGC